rnacentral:rRNA from 1 species
UACGUAGGGUGCGAGCGUUGUCCGGAAUUAUUGGGCGUAAAGAGCUCGUAGGCGGUCUGUCGCGUCGAUCGUGAAAACUUGGGGCUUAACCCUGAGCUUGCGGUCGAUACGGGCAUGACUGGAGUUCGGCAGGGGAGACUGGAAUUCCUGGUGUAGCGGUGAAAUGCGUAGAUAUCGAGAGGAACACCUGCGGCGAAGGCGGGUUGCUGGGCUGACACUGACGCUGAAGUGCGAAAGCUAGGGGAGCGAACGGG